CCGUUUCAACUUGUUGCGGACAAAUCCAAUGGAUAUGCGUAUCAAUCCCACCCGCAGUUAAAAUUUGCCCUUCGCCUGCAAUUACUUCAGUUGCAGCACCCAAUGGAAUGGUGAUAUUGGGCUGAAUAUCAGGAUUUCCUGCUUUGCCAAUUUUCCAGAUGCGUCCAUUUUUCAAACCCACAUCGGCUUUAAUGAUGCCCCACCAAUCUACAAUUAACGCAUUGGUAAUCACGGUAUCUGCAACAUCUUCGGCUAGCAGUUGCGAUUGCCCCAUACCAUCGCGG
rnacentral:sRNA from 1 species